rnacentral:piRNA from 1 species
UGGUCCAACAUUGCUGUCAGCCUCUGC